rnacentral:tRNA from 2 species
GUAGUAAAAGCCGAAUAAAGGCAUCGGUCUUGUAAGCCGAAGGUUGAAGGCAUCACUCCUUCUUACUACU